rnacentral:rRNA from 1 species
UACGUAGGGGACGAGCGUUGUCCGGAGUUAUUGGGCGUAAAGCGUGUGUAGGCGGCUUGGCAAGUUGGAUGUGAAAGCCCACGGCUCAACCGUGGAAGCGCACCCAAAACUGCUUCGCUCGAGUCUCGGAGAGGAAGGUGGAAUGCUUGGUGUAGAGGUGAAAUUCGUAGAUAUCAAGCAGAACACCUGCGGCGAAGGCGGCCUUCUGGACGAUGACUGACGCUGAGACACGAAAGCGUGGGGAGCAAACAGG